CAGUUGGUAAGGGGAGAAACGGGGAUUGGAACCCUAUGUGAACCUCACAGACACCAAGGGAAAACUAGACCUUAAAGUUGCCCUAUUUUCUUCUGGAAAGCUCUCUUCCGAUGCCGGCACCUCCCAUACAGCCCUUCAUCCAGGUCCCCAGGAGUUGGCUGGGGAGAGGCUUAAGGGACAUAGGCAGCAGGUGACUGGAAAAACCGGCCCCCCUCCCCCACCCCUUCAAUUGUUAGGGGGACAGAACUGCCAGUGAGGGCCGUGCUCGCUCGAGGAGGUGCUUAACGGGAAUCCUCUCAUUUUGGUAGAGGAAACUGAGGAUCAGAGACGAAUCCGCUUUACCCAAGGUCACAGAGCCAGUGCACGGCGGAACUGGGAAUCCAACUCAGCUCGGCCAGGCGUCUAAGCCGGGCUGGAUCGCCCGCCGCGCCGGCCCCCGAGAGUCCCCUGCGGCUCCCCCAUUCCUCUGGCCCGCGCCCGAGGAUGGGGUGGAGGAGGAGGGGAGCGCGGGGGGCGCGGGCCACCGCCAGGGAGGGGCCGGGCGGCCCGGCGCGCGGUGGGGGUGGUGCGGCGCGGCGCCGGAAACGGCCUCCAUUCCGGGCGCACGGCCCGCCCCCGGCCCGCCCCUUGGCCGCUCUUCGCCAUGUUUGGCGCUUCCUCCCUGGGCCCUACAAGGCGCUUCCUCCCUGUCUGAGGCCCAUACAAGGCGCUUCCUUCCCGGCGCGUCUGGCAGACGGCCCGCGGGCGGCUGUGGGCGGGAGCCAGCGGCCAGGGGACCCGCUGCCAAGGAGGGGGCGGCCGGCGGCGCUGGGAACGCGCGGCCUGGCCUCCUCGCGGCCGGGCCUGGCUGAGGAACCGGCAAGUCCUUACAGGCCUUCCCUGCAACACCUCCAGGGACUUAAACCUGACCCAGCCACGUUACCCUGAUCUGUCUGCCUGGUGAUGAGCAAAGGUCAGAGAGAGGGACCAGACCUCAGCAGACCAAACCAGCAGCAGCUCCUGAACUCCCACCCCCCAGCUCUUCCAGAAGUGCAACAUGUCAUCACCAUACAGGCUUUCUUCUGGACCGACCGGUGAGCCCCUGAUUGUUCUGCCUCAGGUGAGGCAGGGAAAGAAAAUUUCAGAGCUUGAGACUCAGUCAGGGAAUAUGCCCCAGAAGGGACUUCUAGCGCCAA
rnacentral:lncRNA from 1 species